UUGGGUCGGAGGGGCUGUGUUUACGGAAACCCAUUCCGAACACGGCAGUUAAGCCCUCCAGCGCCGAUGGUACUGGGUUUUCCCGGGAGAGUAGGUCGCUGCCAGGAA
rnacentral:rRNA from 2 species